AUCGCUUCUCGGCCUUUUGGCUAAGAUCAAGUGUAGUAUCUGUUCUUAUCAGUUUAAUAACAGUAUACACUAGAUGCUACUUUGAUUAGCAAUUCAUCAAAUAUUUACUGCUUGCCAAAGCACUUCGUCAUUCUAAGAAACUAAGCUAGAAAGAUUACUUUGAGCAUCCUUUGUUUAGUAUACUC